rnacentral:miRNA from 1 species
AGAUAAAUUGCCUGAGGAACUGGUUAGAGUACAGGUUCUGAUUCUCUAGGUCUGUAGUAGGUCCCAAAGUCUGUGAUUCUGCAUUUCUCACAAGCUCCCAGGUAAUACUGAU